ACUGUGAAGCAUUAAGGAUUUAAGGGCUUCUGUUUCAAGGAAUCAUUUUGUAUGAAAAGUCAUGGGAAUGCAAACUCCACAUCUUACAGAAUGCCACCUCUUUAAAAUCUUCAAAGGGAGUUACUGGUUAAAUGAGUGACACAUAACACCUGUACUAUGUUCGGGAUUUUGUAGGCGGUGAUUGGGCAAUUGACUUUACAUAAAUCGGCAUAUGUUAGUUAUACCCAACACAUUUAAGUAUAGGAGAACCUGGGACACAGAUGACUUUGAAAACAUUCCACUUUGCUGGAGUUGCUAGCAUGAAUGUUACACUUGGAGUUCCUCGCAUCAAGGAAAUUAUAAACGGUGCUAAAAAUAUAAGUACACCUAUUAUUGCUGCUAAGCUUGAGUGUGAUAGAGAUGUUAGAUCUGCACGCAUGGUGAAAGGCUCUAUAGAAAAAACAGUUCUCGGCGAGAUUGCAGAAAGCAUGAAAAUAGUUCUCGAAUCACGCGGAGCAUACAUACCUGUUAAGCUGGAUAUGGAAUUGAUUCGGUGUUCACAGUUGAAGAUUUCUGCUACAAGUGUACAACAGUCUCUCUUGGAUCAUCCUAAAUUAAAAUUAAGUCCUCCAAAAUCAAAAUUAUAUCCAGAACAGAAUUGUGGUCCUGUCGCGGUAUAUUGAGGUACUGUAUGAUAGAAGUCUGAAAAUUCGCUCUCCUGAGAAAGAUAGAACCAAGAUUCACUUUGCACUGCACUCUUUGAAAUCCAUGCUUCCGGAAGUUGUUGUAAUGGGCGUACCAACAGUUGAGCGUGUAAUUGUAAGUGAAAAACAGAAAAAGGGCAAGGGUACGGGCGAGUACGAGGUGUUUGUGGAAGGGUUAGUUUUUUCAGUCUCCCUCUUCUUGUCGAUAAUAUGAUCAUAAAGGCAACAUGGUGCUUUAAAGGCAAUUGUCCGCUCCAUUUUUAGAUUUAAUCGGGUUAUGUCUAGUUCUAGACAUGUAGAACUGUAGGGCACGACAUAAACUGGUUCUGGAUAUGUAUAACUUCAGGGGCACUAAGCCUCUUGUAUUUGGGCUGGGGUGCUGAAAAAUUGUUUAUCUUCUAUACUUAAGCUGAAUACUUGCAGCUUUUACGUUUUUAAAGUUUAGGUCUUCACGCAUAAUCUCCCUGUUUUUUUAUUGGUCAUCACGGAUGAAACUCACUAAAGAUUCCCAUGUUAUUGGUAUGUU